AUUGAACGCUGGCGGCAUGCUUUACACAUGCAAGUCGAACGGUAACAGGGUGCUUGCACCGCUGACGAGUGGCGAACGGGUGAGUAAUGCGUCGGAACGUGCCGAGUAGUGGGGGAUAACGCAUCGAAAGGUGUGCUAAUACCGCAUACGUACUGAGGUAGAAAGUGGGGGACCUUCGGGCCUCACGCUAUUCGAGCGGCCGACGUCUGAUUAGCUAGUUGGUGAGGUAAAGGCUCACCAAGGCGACGAUCAGUAGCGGGCCUGAGAGGAUGAUCCGCCACACGGGGACUGAGACACGGCCCAGACUCCUACGGGAGGCAGCAGGGGGGAAUUUUGGACAAUGGGCGCAAGCCUGAUCCAGCCAUGCCGCGUGUCUGAAGAAGGCCUUCGGGCUGUAAAGGACUUUUGUCCGGGAGCAAAUGCCUGGUGUUAAUAGCACUGGGAGCUGAGAGUAUCGGAAGAAUAAGCACCGGCUAACUACGUGCCAGCCGCCGCGGUAAAAC
rnacentral:rRNA from 1 species